AUUGAACGCUGGCGGCAGGCCUAAUACAUGCAAGUCGAACGAGUGGCGGACGGGUGAGGAAUGUCUGGGAAACGGCACGAUGGAGGGGGACAACUACUGGAAACGGUAGCUAAUCCCGCAUACGUUUGGAUGUGCCUAGAUGGGAUUAGCUUGUGGGUGGGGUAACGGCUCACCAAGGCGACGAUGCCUGGGUGGUCUGAGAGGAUGACCAGCCACACUGGAACUGCGACGCGGUCCAGCCUCCUACGGGAGGCAGCGGUGGGGAAUCUUGCGCAAUGGGCGCAAGCCUGAUGCACCCAUGCCGCGUGUAUGAAGAAGGCCUUCGGGUUGUAAAGUACUUUCAGCGGGGAAGCGUUACCCGCAGAAGAAGCACCGGCUAACUCCGUGCCAGCAGCCGCGGUAAUAC
rnacentral:rRNA from 1 species